GAAGCGGGACGACCCGCCUCUCCAUCAUCAUCCGGGGACGGCCCC
rnacentral:ncRNA from 1 species